rnacentral:rRNA from 1 species
GACAGAGGGUGCAAACGUUGUUCGGAAUUACUGGGCGUAAAGCGCGUGUAGGCGGUUAUGCAAGUCGGGUGUGAAAGCCCCGGGCUCAACCCGGGAAGUGCAUUCGAUACUGCGUAGCUAGAGUACUGGAGAGGAUGGUGGAACUCUCGGUGUAGAGGUGAAAUUCGUAGAUAUCGAGAAGAACACCGGUGGCGAAGGCGGCCAUCUGGACAGAUACUGACGCUGAGACGCGAAAGCGUGGGGAGCGAACAGG